ACCCUCCAGUUUCCCUUCCUAUUAGAUCUAAACACUGGUCUGAAUGGUUAGAAAAGAAGGUAAAGUGAAAUUGAAACUGUCUUCAAUGUUUCUGUAGCACGCGGGCUAGUUUAAAACAAAA